UAUAAAGAUAUAAUAUUUUAUUUUCUAAUAAUACUGUAAAAAUAUAUCCCAAUUUAUUGAGUAGGGUUACUGUACUAUUAAGAGCACAACAGCUCGUGUGCUUCUAAAUUUCUAACCAUAUUUUUUCUCUCUCAUUCUAAUCAUCUAUCAAAAUUGAUAAUAGAUAGUUAAAACUUAUAAGCACACGGAUUGUUGUACUCCUAAUCCUACG
rnacentral:lncRNA from 1 species